rnacentral:rRNA from 1 species
UCGGGAAUUUUGGGCAAUGGGGGAAACCCUGACCCAGCAACGCCGCGUGAAGGAUGAAGUAUUUCGGUAUGUAAACUUCGAAAGAAUAGGAAGAAUAAAUGACGGUACUAUUUAUAAGGUCCGGCUAACUACGUGCCAGCAGCCGCGGUAAUACGAAGGGAGCUAGCGUUGUUCGGAAUCACUGGGCGUAAAGCGCACGUAGGCGGAUAGUUAAGUCAGGGGUGAAAUCCUGGGGCUCAACCCCAGAACUGCCUUUGAUACUGGCUGUCUCGAGGUCGAGAGAGGUUGGUGGAAUUCCUAGUGUAGAGGUGAAAUUCGUAGAUAUUAGGAAGAACACCAGUGGCGAAGGCGGCCAACUGGCUCGAUACUGACGCUGAGGUGCGAAAGCGUGGGGAGCAAACAGGAUUAGAUACCCAAGUAGUCCCUGAGCGGGCUGGCAAGGCGCAU